rnacentral:rRNA from 1 species
UACGUAGGUGGCGAGCGUUGUCCGGAUUUACUGGGCGUAAAGGGCGUGCAGGCGGUUUGUUAAGUGCAGGGUGAAAACUCCCGGCUCAACUGGGAGAGGUCCUUGCAUACUGGCGAACUCGAGGGAGGCAGAGGAAAGUGGAAUUCCCGGUGUAGUGGUGAUAUGCGUAGAUAUCGGAAGGAACACCAGUGGCGAAGGCGGCUACCUGGACCAGCACUGACACUGAGGCACGAAAGCGUGGGGAGCAAACAGG